AAUAGAUACCCAGGUAGUCCACCCCGUAAACGUUGGGAACUAGUUGUGGGGUCCUUUCCACGGAUUCCGUGACGCAGCUAACGCAUUAAGUUCCCCGCCUGGGGAGUACGGCCGCAAGGCUAAAACUCAAAGGAAUUGACGGGGACCCGCACAAGCGGCGGAGCAUGCGGAUUAAUUCGAUGCAACGCGAAGAACCUUACCAAGGCUUGACAUACACCAGAACACCCUAGAAAUAGGGGACUCUUUGGACACUGGUGAACAGGUGGUGCAUGGUUGUCGUCAGCUCGUGUCGUGAGAUGUUGGGUUAAGUCCCGCAACGAGCGCAACCCUCGUUCUAUGUUGCCAGCACGUAAUGGUGGGAACUCAUGGGAUACUGCCGGGGUCAACUCGGAGGAAGGUGGGGAUGACGUCAAAUCAUCAUGCCCCUUAUGUCUUGGGCUUCACGCAUGCUACAAUGGCCGGUACAAAGGGCUGCAAUACCGUGAGGUGGAGCGAAUCCCAAAAAGCCGGUCCAGUUCGGAUUGAGGUCUGCAACUCGA
rnacentral:rRNA from 1 species